rfam:Schistosoma curassoni strain Dakar, Senegal genome assembly, scaffold: SCTD_scaffold0013341
AGUCUUCUGUAUCCGUGCUGAGAUUUCGUCACACACCAGACUAAAAGGGCUGAUGAGACUUCGAAGAUAAAUGAAGCG